UUUACAUUUAUCCUUUUCCACUCUAGGCCUAAAAAAUGGCAUCUGCCUUUACACCCCUUUUCCUCCUCCUUUUCCUACCAGGACUUUCAUCUCAGCUCAAGCUCCAGGAAUCUGGGCCAGGGGUGGUGAGACCCGGAGGGACCCUCGAGCUGACCUGUACAGUCACCGGUGGCUCAGUCACUAGCAGCAGCUGGUGGCACUGGGUUCGCCAGGCUCCCGGGAAAGGGCUGGUCUGGAUGGGGCUCUGGACUGGUAGCACCAUCUAUGCUCCAGCUUUCAGUGGCCGAAUCACCAUCUCGGUGGAUCCUUCGCAAACCAAGUACUUCCUGAGGCUGACCUCGGUGACGGCUGCAGAUUCUGCCACAUAUUACUGUGCAAGAGACACAGUGGGAAAGACUCAACCAGGAGCCUGCCAAAAAAGCAGAAGUGGGCUGUGA